rnacentral:miRNA from 1 species
CCCUCCCGUCCCGGUGUC